CCUACGCUGCCCAUAACAAAGUUACUUGAUGCGAUUACGAACUGUUAAUGCGAGAAGAACCUUUCCCAUUUCCUCGACCAAACCCUAGUUCUUACUCAUGAUGAUCAUCCCAAUCUCCAUCUCCAUCUUAAAAUUCCUCUGAAUUUUCCCUAAAAAUCACUAUCGUUUUCAAUUAUUUCUUUUCCCAUAGCCAUGGAAUCGAACUCGAACCCUAAUUCGGUGGAAGAGGAAUCGAGGAACUGGCUUGAACUGCCUGCAGAUGUCAUGUCGAUGAUUCUGCACAAGUUAGGUCCCGUUGAUAUCCUCACUAACGCUCAAGACGUUUGCUCUUCGUGGCGUAAGAUCUGCGAGGAUCCUCUAAUGUGGCGCGUCAUCGAUAUGCGGUAUUCCGGUGAUUGGUGGGACAUGGAUUACGAUUUGGAGGAGCUGUGCAGGCAGGCUGUUGGACGGAGUUGUGGUCAAUUGGUUGACAUUAACAUUGAGCAUUUUGGUACCGAUGAUUUGCUCCACUAUAUCACUCAGAGUUCAAAUCAACUUAGUAGACUCCGCCUUGUAUAUUGCAAUCGCAUCUCAGAUGAGGGAUUGAUUGAAGCAGUUUCAAGACUUCCAUUGUUGGAGGAUCUUGAGUUAUCUUUCUGUUCAUUUGACGUGGAAACUUUGGGAACUCUUGGUCAGAGUUGUCCUGGUCUGAAAUCACUGAAAUUGAACCGUCAAUUUUACAGACGGGUUGAAUGUGAUAAAGGAGCCCUUGCUAUUGCUGAAAAUAUGCCUAAUCUACGUCACCUUCAGAUAUUUGGCAACAGCCUAACAAACAGUGGAUUGGAAGCCAUUCUUGAUGGUUGUCCUGCUUUAGAAUCUCUUGAUUUACGCCAGUGUUUUAAUUUGAAUCUGGCAGGACAGUUGGGAACAAAAUGUUCUGGAAAGAUAAAAGAUUUGCGCGUGCCUCAUGAUCCCACUGAUGAUUAUGAAUUUUCAACUGAAAUUAUUGAUUAUGAUGAUGAUUAUGAUGACGAUUAUGGUUACCCUUUUGGUUUGUCUGACACCAAUUUGCUGACUGAUGAUGAUGAUUACUAUGAGUUCUCAGGGGGCAGCGAUUUCUCUGACUAUACAGAUUUGUAUUUUUAUUGAAGGUUCAGCUUUAGAAGCAUAGUGAGAAAACCAAACCGUGGCCCAAUAUUUACUUGCUGCCUCUCUUCCAAUGGUAGUUGGUUCAAGGAGCCUACCAUUCAACUGCAAGAAAAGAAGUUUGAGAGGCUCUCUUUCCAUAUUAAAACUUAUACAUUCCAAGAAUCAUGUCCCAUCAAGAGUUGCAUCCCGCCAAUAUUAAUGGUACUUUUUAGACUCAUCAGUCACCCAUACUCGAAAGUAGUGUUCCACUAGAAAGGGUAAAAUUGGAAUUUACUUAAAAGGUAGAGGCAAAAUAGGAAACAAAAAAUUCUCCUAUAUUGCCCCCAUUUAUAAAUAUUAGGGAAAGUGGUGGUGCAGGCUUUGAAAAGGGUGUGUAUAUCCUCGUUCUUCAUAGGCAACGGUUCCAACGGCAGAGGGUGUUGCCUCUUAUCGAUGGAGGUAGGAAGGUGGGAGGAAAGAUAAGGUUUAUCUCUCUUGCAACCCAUGGAUUCUCAGUGGAGCGGCGACGAAGAAUGGACAGCAUAAAUCCAUAGAGAAGAAAGAAGCAAGAGAAGGAGAAGAGUGAGGAAUUUUUAGGUUUAGAGAGAAGAAGAGAAGGGAGAAGUGUGACAAAGAUAGAAAAGUGAGAGGGUGACAUUUGAAUUAUAAAUUAUAAAGUUUUUCCGCCUUUCCAAGCUAUAAAAAAAAAAAGGGUAUUUCUUGUAGUGAUUCAAGAUACACAACUUUA